AUUAAUCAUCAUCUCACUCAGAGCUCAGACGCACUUUAGAGUCACACUUUACAUGCUUACAUUGUUUUUCAUGUUAUUGUUAACCACAGGUAAUCUGUUCUACCCACAAUGCAGACUCAAAUUAUUGUUUUAUUUCGGCGUUAAAAUUUUUAGACAGAGAAGAAAGAUAGCGAAUAAUGAAGAGUACAGAACAACAGCGCACAAGAUCUCAGGAGAAGAGUUGUUACAAACUCCUUAGACAUGAGAGCAUUGUUACAAAACCGAACUUCGCUCAUGAUGAUAACAGACCAACAGAUCAGAACGACAUAUUUGAAUAGAUCAAAGAUAAGAAAACUACAGUGCAGUAAAGAUGUGGAACUACUUCCACACACCUACUAGGAAUUGGCUGUAGCUCAUGAUGAACAUUAAGUGUAAAGCUGAGCUCGAAAUGCUUAAAUCAAAUAUAGAACACUAACAGAAGCAUCAGAAAGACAAUAACACAAAAGCCACUGGGAAUUCAGUGGACAAUUGAGAGACACAUGCAAAAUGAGGUGAGCAAACAUCCACUGAAAAUCUUGAUGAAGAUGAAACUGUACAUGCACAAACAAGAAAGAGCCACUGGACACUAAAGACUUUUCACAAGGUAGGAAUUGAGGUUAUAAGCCAGUUUUUUUACUUUUUUUGUGAAAAUAAUAAAGUGCCAAAAUGUGAUCAAUUCCAUCAGUCAAAGACUUAUUUGCAAACUUUGUUUAUAGGUAGCAGGAAUUUUUACCUAUUUUUGAUCUAUUCUACCUCAAUUGUUUGCACUUUUUAUAAAUACAGUAUGUUAAAAACAAAAUAUGAAUUGCACAGUUAAUCACUAAAUAUGGCUAAAAUUACUUAAAAUGGUUCAAAUAUUUUAGAUAACCUAUUAACUACACAACACAUUCUUUCCCAAAACUGACAUUCUAAAGUAGCUGUGUAUUGUAAGGUUAUCUUCAAGAAACUAACCCCCUCUUUUUCUCAACAGGUAUUGGACUAGCUUUUGUUGAAACUAGUAACUUUGUAUUGGCACCUAUUGUAUUAUUGCUCCUUUAUGACAUAUCGCUUAUUGCUCCCUAAACUUUUUGUAAGUCACUUUGAAUAAAAGCGUCUACUCAAUGACUAAAUGUUAAAGUAAAUGUUUAUUUUUAUUAUAGUAGAUGUCACGUGCAGGGCUUUAAAAACAAUACCAUAUGUUACCAGUAGAUGGCUCUAAAAGUCUUUUAAACUAAAGGAGCCUAAAUGGUGAUGUAUAGCCAAACCCUGACCUAUUGUUUCAGUAUACUGUAGGUGUGGUGCAUGGUACUUUGAUGUAUUCUGUGAUAUUUACGUAAUACGAUACUUAAUUUAUACCAAAGUACCAGUGAGGUCCAAUUGAGGUUAUUGUUACUGUGAAUCCUUCAAUGAUGUACAGCGCCUGCUAAACAUUUUUGGUAAAACAUUCAUUUGGGACAACUUGCCUAGGCCUACAUCUCCUCAUGAUUCUGUCAGACCCUUUAUAUAAACCUCCCGUUUUACUAGAUGGAAAGUUGUACAAUGCCAUCUCUUUAUUCUAAAAAAAAUAAUAAUUUAAUAUGAAAUAUAAACGAUUUCAAGAAAUGUAUUUAAUAUCAAUUACAGAAUUUUAUUUAAUGUAAUUUGCUUUCUAUAUCUUAAGCAUGUUAUUUGGCAAUGUUAUGAAUAUUUUAUAAAUAAAGAAUGUAUAGUCACAUUGUACGUUGGACACUAGGGGCCGUAUUGCCAGAACACCAACAGUAGGCUACAUUAAAAUCUACAGAGAACACAGUUUUCCAAGGUCUAUUAUAUCUUUGUUCAAGGUUUUAAAAGAGCAGGCAGUCUAUUUAUUUAUAAAUAAACAUGCUGAGCAGUUUGGACAUUGUUAACAAUAGGCCUAUAGUUAUAAUUACUAUAAUGCAUUUUCUAUCGUAAUGUAAAUUCUAUUUAAAAAAUCUUCUCAGAUAAACAAUUUCGCUAAACCCAUUUUCAGUUCAAAUGUUUCAGAAAUGUUUCUUUUCAAACAGUUGUCAUUUUACAGACAGGAUAUUCACGUGAAGUCUUUCUCUAAAAAUCUUGUGUGUGACUUGGCUUAAUCUUGCCUGGGAAACCAGCCCUCUGGGUUAGUCAAGGUCAAAGCUUUUGAAAACAAAUACCCAAGUACAGUUUUUUCCCAUGUUUAUACUUUCCGCAAAUGUUCUUUUGUCAGUAAAAGCUGUAAAAUACGGUUUUACAAAUCUGUUCAUGUUUGAUCACAGUCUUGUCGUAGGGGCCACACUCCUGUUCCUGCUGAACUGAGCCAGUAUUUUACUACAACUGAUGUCAGCUCAGAAGGCACAGGAGGUCAGGUCCUGAUGGCACAACACACUGUUUCAUAAACAACUCAUUCAAGAAAAUAUAAUAAAAUCAUUUACACUGGUA